UGCGGUGUUUGAUUUUCUGUUUUUGUGUCAGUUUGCUGAGAAUGAUGGUUUCCAGGUUCAUCCUGACCCAUAAAUCCUACACAGUGACUAAAAUGUGAUGGGCCCGCCUCCUAGAGAGCCACACUGGUGUGUCAUAGCACACUGAUUGAGAACCGUGCCUCUGCUUCUGCUGGGCUGCCUCCAAAUUAUUGGGUGCAGACAUCAGAGUUGUGCCUGUAUCCUGCUAGUGUCUGCUCCUCAGAGGCCUGAUCUUCAUGCAUUCACCUCCUAGGUAUGCCGAAAUGAUGCCCAACGCUGUACCUCUAGUAAAUAUCAUGUCUUUAGUUGAGAUGAUAUCCGAGAUUUCUUCCAACCCACACUGUUUAUGUUAUGAAGUUGCAGCCUGAAAGUUCCCAUUAGAUCUUUGCCAACUGCCGCUCGGGCCUCUGGUGCCAUUUCAAAGGGCAUGCAUUUAAAAUGAGCUUGCCCUCUUGCCUUCUCUUUAAUCUCCCCUCAACCUUUUCUCUACUUGCUCUGUUUGUUCCUUACUAAUAAUGAAUAACAGCAAUACUGUCUGAGUCAAGAGAAAGGAAAUUUGAUAUAUUUCUUUUCAGAUCAUCUUUACAUAGAUCAAUCCUUCGAUAUACCGGGAAUUAUUAUGGAUGUUGGAAAAGCUGAAAAAAUAUAAGUAAAACUUAAAAAAUUUUCUUAAAGCCACAUUUCCCCUGAAUUACCAAAUAUUACAAAAAGGAAGAACAGAUACACAAUUUCUCUGUGUAUCUGUCUUCCACAAUAGGGAGCACCAUGUGAAUCGCUUAUUUGCCAGUGUGGUUGCGAUAUCAGUUUCCUUAGACUGCUGUGACACAUUACAUCAAACUUGGUGGAGUGAAACAACAGAAAUGUAUUCUCUCACAGUCCUGGAGUCUAGAAGUCUACGUUAAGGUGCCAGCAGGGCCAGGUUCCUUCUAAGAACUUUAAGGGAGAAUCUUUCCUUGCCCGAUCCAGGUGUGGCUCCCCGUGGUCCUUGGUGUUCAUUGACUUGUAGCUGCUUCACCCCAGUCUCCAACUCUUUAUUGUCAUGUGUAUGUCUAGUGUGUUUGGGCCCUUUUCAAUCCAAGCCAGAAGUGUUUCUGCUGUCCGAAAACCUUGUCAGUUGUCCACAUAAUUCACAGGGGUCUAAGCCAUCAGACAAGCAGGUCCUUUACAAAUCUUUCCUGGAUAACCUUAUUUCUAUUUCUGGCUUCUGUUGAGAUGGUUGAUUGGAUCCAUUACUCACAGGCCUAUUCGCCCCAAUAAAAAGUAGUUUAGCCCCACACUACAAGGUUGAGAAUUCAAUUUGUAUUGUAAUUUAGCCACUCAUAGGAUGAAUCUCUGCCUUUGCUUUUCAGAAAUAUCAGCUACCACCACCUUUCAGGGCAGAUGUGGAAGCUUUCAGGCACGAGAGAAAGGCCAUGUGAGGACAUAGUGAGAAGGCUGUCAUCUCCAAGGGUGACAGUCCUCACUGGGAACUAAAUGAGGCAGAACCUUGAUAUUGGGCUAUCAGCAUCCAGAACAAGG